rnacentral:rRNA from 1 species
CCCGGGGAAACUCGGAUUAAUACCGUAUACCUCCUUAGGGAGAAAGAGGGCUUAGCUUUGAUGCUCUCGCUAUUAGAUGAGCCUGCGUAAGAUUAGCUUGUUGGUGAGGUAAUGGCUCACCAAGGCGACGAUCUUUAGCUGGUCUGAGAGGACGAUCAGCCACAUUGGGACUGAGACACGGCCCAGACUCCUACGGGAGGCAGCAGUGGGGAAUAUUGGACAAUGGGCGCAAGCCUGAUCCAGC